AUUGAACGCUGGCGGAAUGCUUUACACAUGCAAGUCGAACGGCAGCACGGACUUCGGUCUGGUGGCGAGUGGCGAACGGGUGAGUAAUGCAUCGGAACGUGCCCAAUCGUGGGGGAUAACGUAGCGAAAGUUACGCUAAUACCGCAUACGCUCUAAGGAUGAAAGCGGGGGAUCGCAAGAACUCGCGCGAAUGGCGCGGGCGAAGUUAGAUUAGGUAGUUGGUGGGGUAAAGGCUCACCAAGCCGACGAUCUAUAGCUGGUCUGAGAGGAUGGUCAGCCACACUGGGACUGAGACACGGCCCAGACUCCUACGGGAGGCAGCAGUGGGGAAUUUUGGACAAUGGGCGCAAGCCUGAUCCAGCCAUUCCGCGUGCAGGAUGAAGGCCCUCGGGUUGUAAACUGCUUUUGUACAGAACGAAAAGCUCUGGGUUAAUACCCUGGGGUCAUGACGGUACUGUAAGAAUAAGCACCGGCUAACUACGUGCCAGCCGCCGCGGUAA
rnacentral:rRNA from 1 species